rnacentral:lncRNA from 1 species
UGAAACUUAAUAUACCUUCACUCUCAAAUAAUUAAAGAAACAAAGUCUUCAAUUAAUACUCCAUGCUUUUGUUGCACACUCUGAUCUAAACCCACCAAAGUUAUCUAGGUUGACUAAAUUACUUCUAACCAAGGGACAACUUUAUACUAGAAUUUGAGAAGACCAAAAAUGACUCAUGACUAGGUCAAACCAACUAGUCAUAUCUUGAGGCACAAAAGAUCCAGCCUUCGACACUCAACCCUACAAAUCAUUCCUUAUCACAAUCUCUGGUGAUCUUAAACAUAUUCUCUGUACACUUCUGUCACGUCUGAACCCGUCACCU